rnacentral:rRNA from 1 species
GACGAACGCUGGCGGCGUGCUUAACACAUGCAAGUCGAACGGAAAGGCCCUGCUUUUGUGGGGUGCUCGAGUGGCGAACGGGUGAGUAACACGUGAGUAACCUGCCCUUGACUUUGGGAUAACUUCAGGAAACUGGGGCUAAUACCGGAUAGGAGCUCCUGCUGCAUGGUGGGGGUUGGAAAGUUUCGGCGGUUGGGGAUGGACUCGCGGCUUAUCAGCUUGUUGGUGGGGUAGUGGCUUACCAAGGCUUUGACGGGUAGCCGGCCUGAGAGGGUGACCGGCCACAUUGGGACUGAGAUACGGCCCAGACUCCUACGGGAGGCAGCAGUGGGGAAUAUUGCACAAUGGGCGGAAGCCUGAUGCAGCAACGCCGCGUGCGGGAUGACGGCCUUCGGGUUGUAAACCGCUUUCGCCUGUGACGAAGCGUGAGUGACGGUAAUGGGUAAAGAAGCACCGGCUAACUACGUGCCAGCAGCCGCGGUGAUACGUAGGGUGCGAGCGUUGUCCGGAUUUAUUGGGCGUAAAGGGCUCGUAGGUGGUUGAUCGCGUCGGAAGUGUAAUCUUGGGGCUUAACCCUGAGCGUGCUUUCGAUACGGGUUGACUUGAGGAAGGUAGGGGAGAAUGGAAUUCCUGGUGGAGCGGUGGAAUGCGCAGAUAUCAGGAGGAACACCAGUGGCGAAGGCGGUUCUCUGGGCCUUUCCUGACGCUGAGGAGCGAAAGCGUGGGGAGCGAACAGGCUUAGAUACCCUGGUAGUCCACGCUGUAAACGGUGGGUACUAGGUGUGGGGUCCAUUCCACGGGUUCCGUGCCGUAGCUAACGCUUUAAGUACCCCGCCUGGGGAGUACGGCCGCAAGGCUAAAACUCAAAGGAAUUGACGGGGCCCCGCACAAGCGGCGGAGCAUGCGGAUUAAUUCGAUGCAACGCGUAGAACCUUACCUGGGUUUGACAUGGAUCGGGAGUGCUCAGAGAUGGGUGUGCCUCUUUUGGGGUCGGUUCACAGGUGGUGCAUGGCUGUCGUCAGCCCGUGUCGUGAGAUGUUGGGUUAAGUCCCGCAACGAGCGCAACCCUUGUUCACUGUUGCCAGCACGUUAUGGUGGGGACUCAGUGGAGACCGCCGGGGUCAACUCGGAGGAAGGUGGGGAUGACGUUAAGUCAUCAUGCCCCUUAUGUCCAGGGCUUCACGCAUGCUACAAUGGCUGGUACAGAGAGUGGCGAGCCUGUGAGGGUGAGCGAAUCUCGGAAAGCCGGUCUCAGUUCGGAUUGGGGUCUGCAACUCGACCUCAUGAAGUCGGAGUCACUAGUAAUCGCAGAUCAGCAACGCUGCGGUGAAUACGUUCCCGGGGCUUGUACACACCGCCCGUCAAGUCAUGAAAGUUGGUAACACCCGAAGCCGGUGGCCUAACCGUUGUGGGGGAGCCGUCGAAGGUGGGACUGGUGAUUAGG